rnacentral:rRNA from 1 species
UAGCAAUGUGCGAAAGCACGACUGGGUCAGUCCGAGUGAUUCCUGAUAAAGGAGUCUUUUGCCUGUCCUAAAAGCACAGGUGAAUAAGGGGUGGGCAAGUCUGGUGUCAGCCGCCGCGGUAAUACCAGCACCUCGAGUGGUCAGGACGUUUAUUGGGCCUAAAGCAUCCGUAGCCGGCUCUGCAAGUCUUCGGUUAAAUCCACCUGCUCAACAGAUGGGCCGCUGGAGAUACUACAGAGCUAGGGAGUGGGAGAGGCAGACGGUAUUCAGUGGGUAGGGGUAAAAUCCUCUGAUCCAUUGAGGACCACCAGUGGCGAAGGCGGUCUGCCAGAACACGUUCGACGGUGAGGGAUGAAAGCUGGGGGAGCAAACCGG